CAUAAGAGUUCCAAAUUCGAAUUGGAUAUGCAACCAAAUAAACCCCAUUGCUCACAACAGCCUUGAACUCUGGGAAAUUCAGACCUGGAUCCAGACUUUGCAGCUGGACUCCAUUCCUGCCUUAAAUAUAAAGUAAAAUCGAAGUGCAUUGUGACUGCACACAUUGUUUACAGGAAACAUUCAAUUCAGCAUACUUUGGUGAAGUCCUCCUGGCCCGGCCCGGGGACAUCGGGCCUGGCUCCCCCGAGGUGCCACGGGAUGAUGAAAUCUCGCAGCGGAUCGGAUCAGCUGCUUUCACCCCUUCUGUCGUGUUUUCAACAAAUAGAACAUCCCAGGCUUUCCCCAUAAAUUGCCGGCACCAUGUCGCGCUCUUCCUAGAGCCACUGAUAAGGGCCGUUUGUGUUCUCCAUGCGGGAUAGGAAGUCCCGGGGAAGUUUGUGAGCCCCGCAGAAUGAGUGGGAGAACACGCG
rnacentral:lncRNA from 1 species